GAUGAACGCUGGCGGCGUGCCUAAUACAUGCAAGUCGAACGAAACUUCUUUAUCACCGAGUGCUUGCACUCACCGAUAAGGAGUUGAGUGGCGAACGGGUGAGUAACACGUGGGCAACCUGCCCAAAAGAGGGGGAUAACACUUGGAAACAGGUGCUAAUACCGCAUAACCAUAGUUACCGCAUGGUAACUAUGUAAAAGGUGGCUAUACUACCGCUUUUGGAUGGGCCCGCGGCGCAUUAGCUAGUUGGUAGGGUAAAGGCUUACCAAGGCAAUGAUGCGUAGCCGAAUUGAGAGGUUGAUCGGCCACAUUGGGACUGAGACACGGCCCAAACUCCUACGGGAGGCAGCAGUAGGGAAUCUUCCACAAUGGGCGAAAGCCUGAUGGAGCAACGCCGCGUGGGUGAAGAAGGUCUUCGGAUCGUAAAACCCUGUUGUUAGAGAAGAAAGUGCGUGAGAGUAACUGUUCACGUUUCGACGGUAUCUAACCAGAAAGCCACGGCUAACUACG
rnacentral:rRNA from 1 species